AUUGAACGCUGGCGGCAGGCCUAGCACAUGCAAGUCGAACGGUAGCACAGAGAGCUUGCUCUCGGGUGACGAGUGGCGGACGGGUGAGUAAUGUCUGGGAAACUGCCUGAUGGAGGGGGAUAACUACUGGAAACGGUAGCUAAUACCGCGUAAUGUCGCAAGACCAAAGAGGGGGACCUUCGGGCCUCUUGCCAUCGGAUGUGCCCAGAUGGGAUUAGCUUGUUGGUGGGGUAAAGGCUCACCAAGGCGACGAUCCCUAGCUGGUCUGAGAGGAUGAACAGCCGCGAUGGAACUGAGGCACGGUCCAGAUUCCUACGGGAGGAAGCAGUGGGGAAUAUUGCACAAUGGGCGCAAGCCUGAUGCGGCCAUGCGGCGUGUGUGAAGAAGGCGUUCGGGUUGUAAAGCACUUUCAGCGGGGAGGAAGGCGGUGAGUUUAAUAAGCUCACCGAUUGACGUUACCCGCAGAAGAAGCACCGGCUAACUCCGUGCCAGCCGCCGCCGUAA
rnacentral:rRNA from 1 species